AGGACAUAGCCCAGUUUGGUGACCAAGACAGCGCCCAGUUGAGGGACUGGCUGGUGCCCCCUAGCUGGCCUCCCACAGGGAAACACGUCUGGCAUCGUGAUUGAUAUUACUCUUAAUGACGGAAAUGACAGCCAUGUAUGGGAGACUCAGGAGCAAAUCAUCCCUGUAUGAUUAAUGCAGGGCCCAGGGGUGCUGGUGUGAUUCAUUCCUGCACUUACUCUACCCCACACGCUCACAUGUGCUCACACACAUGCACACAGCACCCACUGAGGGCUAGGGCUUUGCAGGGGCUGGCCCUACCCACGUAGCACUCUAGCUGGUCCCAAUCCAGUCCUUCAUUCUAAGUAUCCAUCCAUCCAUCCAUCCACCAAUUCAUCUGUUCAUCUAUCCACCCAUCACCAGUUUAUUCUCCAUCUAUCAAUCAAUGUAUCCAUCCAUCUGUCUGUCCAUCCGUUCAUCCACUCCUCCACCCUCAUUCAUCCACUCCCCCACGUUUAUCCAUCUGGCAAGCUCUCGUCCCUUCGGUAAGUAUCCAUCAGGUUUCUUUUUGUGUCAGCCCCUGGGGAUCCAAGGAUGAAUCAUCUGAAUGGGCCCUGCCCUGGAGGCCUCCCAGAACCUUGGGGACCAGUGUGCCCUCUGAGUCACCUCUGGAAGGAAUGAUUCUCCCAGCAUUCCUCUUUGGAGAUCCAGGGAGCCCAAGCCGCUGGGAAGCCUGGCUGAGUCAUGGUGCUUGCGGGGUUGGUAAGCAGAAAGGGCUGGGGAGGCCAUGGGGAAAUGGACAGAAUGCUGAUUCAAGAAGGGACUGACGGGAGUGGAUGAGGCAGAGUAUAGAGGGCCCCUGGGAGAAGGUGGCCCCCUCAGUGUGGCCGGGGCUGCACCUUGAGAGGGGAUGGCAAACUCCUCUCCUGGCUGUACCAUGACCAUAGGCCAGUCUACUCCUUGGGAAAGGGGCCAGUACUCCCUGGCCUGCUGGCAAGCACUGGGUGAGACCCAGGAUGUCAAAGCGCUUUCUCUGUAGCUGCAGCCCCCUCCGCCAAGGCGGCUUUGUGCCAGGUCUGUCGGAGCAGCUGUGCUCCCUUCCCCCUGGGCCACUGUUUCUGACCCAACACGCCUGUCUCGUGUCGUCUACGUCCUGGUCGGGAGUUCUGUGGGGCUCACUUUGCUGGGGCUCUGGGAGGCUUGUGGAUGUGUGCAGUCUGGAGGUCUCAUGGCUGGACACAG
rnacentral:lncRNA from 1 species